rnacentral:rRNA from 1 species
UACGUAGGGGGCAAGCGUUGUCCGGAAUCAUUGGGCGUAAAGAGCGCGUAGGCGGUCCGGUAAGUCGGUUGUGAAAACUGGGGGCUCAACCCUCAGAGGCCGACCGAUACUGGCGGGCUAGAGUCCGGAAGAGGCGAGUGGAAUUCCUGGUGUAGCGGUGAAAUGCGCAGAUAUCAGGAGGAACACCGAUGGCGAAGGCAGCUCGCUGGGACGGUACUGACGCUGAGGCGCGAAAGCGUGGGGAGCAAACAGG